GCUUGGACUACAUAUGGUUGAGGGUUGUA
rnacentral:ncRNA from 8 species